GACGAACGCUGGCGGCGUGCCUAAUACAUGCAAGUUGAGCGCUGAAGGUUGGUACUUGUACCAACUGGAUGAGCAGCAAACGGGUGAGUAACGCGUGGGGAAUCUGCCUUUGAGCGGGGGACAACAUUUGGAAACGAAUGCUAAUACCGCAUAAAAACUUUAAACACAAGUUUUAAGUUUGAAAGAUGCAAUUGCAUCACUCAAAGAUGAUCCCGCGUUGUAUUAGCUAGUUGGUGAGGUAAAGGCUCACCAAGGCGAUGAUACAUAGCCGACCUGAGAGGGUGAUCGGCCACAUUGGGGCUGAGACACGGCCCAAACUCCUACGGGAGGCAGCAGUAGGGAAUCUUCGGCAAUGGACGAAAGUCUGACCGAGCAACGCCGCGUGAGUGAAGAAGGUUUUCGGAUCGUAAAACUCUGUUGGUAGAGAAGAACGUUGGUGAGAGUGGAAAGCUCAUCAAGUGACGGUAACUACCCAGAAAGGGACGGCUAACUACGUG
rnacentral:rRNA from 1 species